AGAAAAGCUUGACUGGCGGGGGGAGUGGGGCCUGAAAUCCCUUUAUUAUUAAAGAAGAAAGACUAAAAAUAAAGGCACUGAAUACACAUCAUAAGAAAUGGGCGAAGAGGCAAACAAAAAAGAAAGGACGAAAUGGGAAUUAAUCAAUAGCUAAAAUUAAUAACAGAAAAUGAGAACAAGGAAAGAUAAAUGCACAAGUGGGAUGCUUUGAAACCAGAAGUGGCAAGAGAGGCCUGUGGCUGUCUCAGCCUCAUGAGCGCUGUUUUGCUCGGCUCCUCGGAGUGCUGAGCCCUGGGCUCCUCAUCUCUGUUCACCGACCACAGGGCCUUGAAAUUGCAGAACCCAGGCGCUGCACUGCAGAAUCUGGCGAUUUUGCUAUCCAGGCAAGACUCUUUGGACUAAAAUCUUUAGCAUUUCCUCCCAGAAAUAAAACUCCUACGUCUGGGCUUAUUAAACAAAUGAGUCAGUUUUGUCUUUUUCAGCAAUGAAAACUGCUGUGGUUUUGUUUUCUCCUCCUUGCCAGGAGUCAAGAGGAAGUCUGUGGUUAGACAUGUUCGGGUGGAGACCAACUCUUAACAUUGCAGAGAUUAAUGAACUCCUAGAUUCAAGCUUGCAGCCCAGCCAGUGGGGCUGAUGACCCUGAACAGAUGGAGGGGACAGAAAGGUCUCCAGAACCUCUGUCCCCACCCUGCCUCUGCUUCCCAGUCUGACAUAAGAUCCAGUGGACUAGCUUUGUCUUCAAUGCAUGAUCUGUUUCCACUCAAAUCCGGAGGCUGGAUUUCAAAGAUCCCCGGGGAUCCAGUGCCCAUCUCUGCGUGGAGGCUGGGACCCAUCAAUCCUCCCGGUGGCGCUCCCUUCUUUUCCAUCAAAACCCCAGAUUUGUCAGGGGUUAUAGUGCAGGCAACUGAAAGAGUUUCCUUCCCCAGCCUCUGUGUAGCUGGAGGUUCAGCAUUUGCUUACAGUGCCGGCCAACAUCACAGCCAUUGCUGGGUGUCUAAGAAAGGGUUCACAUUCCCAAUGUGAGCACUUGCUCUCCUUCGUUCUUUCUUCUUCCUCUUGCUUGGAAUUUGAGCAACAAGCAGUGCCUUGCGUUUACAAGGUAGCAUAGGUGAGGAUGGGAUGGGAGAGAAAGAGUGGAUCAGACACCCAGUGGUAUUAUUAAGUCACUUCCUCCUGCUCCUUAUCAUGUCCUGGACUUCUUAGAUCAGGGAAAAUAAAAUUCCAUCUCAUCAAACCGCUCCAGUGGGCUGUUGUGUUACUUGCAGCUGAAUGCAUUCCUAAAUGGCUUUCAUAGGUUUUCCAAACAUCUUCACCUCCUUCUCUUAUGAGGCCCCCACAGAACUACUUCAUAGUAGAUUCAUGACUUUCCUUCUAUUUUUAGAUGGAGAAGCUGAGGUUCCAUGGUGGAUUGGACAAAGAAUUUGUGCUAGAACUCCAAGACCCUCUGUUACCCAGUUCUUUGCUUGUCCCAAGAAAAAUCCUUCUUGCCCCCAAGAUGAUCAGAGGUGUCCUUUCCACGGGAUAGUUUCCCACACACUGUGUCCCAUGCAAGAGGGGAAAUUCCUCAAGAGCCUGGCAGCCUGUGAGUGGUGGCAGUCCCACCUCCAACAAGAGCAGGGGUGCUCUUUCUUCUUAAAAUCUGUCAGUCUGAGUCAAAAGAUCAGGGCUCAGGUCUUGGGUCUCCCUUACUCUCUGUGUGAUCUUGGGGAAAAUCUCUGAACCCCCCUCCCCAGGCGUCUAUAAAAUGGGAGUAGCCAUUCUUCUCCCUGGAGGCUACCACAAAUCCAAAGAUCCAAGAUGAUCUAUGAUAUGUUAUAGAGCCUGUGGAUAAUCGUCCCUGAGUGCUCAGGAUGUCAGAACAGCACUUAGGGCAUGAUAAAGCACAGGGUGUCCUGAUGAUGGGGCUGCUGGCAAGAUGACUUCAGUCUGUCUCCGACCCGACUCCUCCCUGAGCUCAGCCCUCUUGAUGGUUGAUGUGUAAAUUACCGAUAUGCUCCCCAUGCCUUUGUGACCACUCGUCACAGUUUGCCUGCCUCAUCGAGGCUAGAGCAUUGAUCUCAUGAGACUCUGUACCUUUCAGAGAGGAUCAUUUCAGCAUGACAAUUCUUACUAAGUCAAGGUACUCAGUUUCAUAAGUUCUUUACAGUGGACCCUUGGCUUACAAACUCAAUCAGUUCCCAAGGGCUGGUUGUAAUUCAAGUUGGUUAUAAAUCACUUUGGCUGAGAUCUGGAUGUUUACCUGGGUACACACUGUGGGUAACAAGAGGCAGAUAAAUCUUCCAUUAACCUAAUUAACCCAAGUUGUUCAUAUGUCAGCCCAAUUGCAACUUGAGGGUCCAUUGUAUUUUCUUAGCAACUGGAAUUUAUUUACUCAUACAAUUUCAAAAAUAUAUGUGUAUUGUGCUAGACAUUGUGCUGGGGACUUUCAGGAUGGGAAGGAACUUGAAAAGCAUCUGGUUCACACUGGAUGUGGCAGCACACACCUGUGGUUCUAGCAUUCUGGGAGGCCAAGGCAGGAGGAUUGCAAGUUCAAGCCAAGCCUGGGCAAUUUAGGCAAUUUAAAAUAAAAAAGGACAGAAGAUAUAGCUCAGUACAAAGACAAAAUAAUAAUAUUGAUAAUAAUAAUCUAUUCUAGACUUCCUUCCAAGCUGAGCCUCCUCAUACAGGGCUGGCAUCCCCUCUUUCUGCUCCUGCACUCAACACCCAUGGACAUAGAGCAUCCUCGGGCCCACCUUGGGGCCAGUCUGUCCCUUGGGUGUCUGUGUGUUCUCUAGAAUGUCCUCCUUGGCAGACACCAGGAUGUGUUCUUGGCAAACUCUGUGCUGUGCACACUUGACUGUGUGGGAUGGAGACUGGCAGAGUGAGUGGGGACGAGAGGGCCCCUGAGAGGUGUUGCCAGCAGGAAGUGCCAUCUGGGCUGCAUGGCGAUGGUGAGGACAGCAUCAGUCAGCUGCCACCGUGGCUUCCAAGAGUUUGUCCUUCAUGCCAGGAAGGAGCUCAGAGCAGGUGCCAUUCAGCGAAAGCCGGCACACUGAGGGAGGCCAGGCUGGGCUUGAGGGGUGACAUCAGGAAGCCACUGCUUAGUUAACUGCAGGGAUCCAGGAG
rnacentral:lncRNA from 1 species